GAUGAACGCUGGCGGCGUGCCUAAUACAUGCAAGUCGAGCGAACAGACGAGGCGCUUGCUCCUCUGACGUUAGCGGCGGACGGGUGAGUAACACGUGGAUAACCUACCUAUAAGACUGGGAUAACUUCGGGAAACCGGAGCUAAUACCGGAUAAUAUAUUGAACCGCAUGGUUCAAUAGUGAAAGACGGUGUUGCUGUCACUUAUAGAUGGAUCCGCGCCGCAUUAGCUAGUUGGUAAGGUAACGGCUUACCAAGGCAACGAUGCGUAGCCGACCUGAGAGGGCGAUCGGCCACACUGGAGCUGAGACGCGGUCCAGACUCCUACGGGAGGCAGCAGUAGGGAAUCUUCCGCAAUGGGCGAAAGCUUGACGGAGCAACGCCGCGUGAGUGAUGAAGGUCUUCGGAUCGUAAAACUCUGUUAUUAGGGAAGAACAGAUGUGUAAGUAACUAUGCACGUCUUGACGGUACCUAAUCAGAAAGCCACGGCUAACUACGUG
rnacentral:rRNA from 1 species